rnacentral:rRNA from 1 species
GACGAACGCUGGCGGCGUGCCUAAUACAUGCAAGUCGAACGCAGUGGGGACGGGUGAGUAACACGUGGGUAACCUCCCAUCAGAGGGGAUAACACUUGGAAACAGGUGCUAAACCGAUACUGAUGGAUGGACCCGCGGUGCAUUAGCUAGUUGGUGAGGUAACGGCUCACCAAGGCCACGAUGCAUAGCCGACCUGAGAGGGUGAUUGGCCACACUGGAACGGAGAAACGGCCCAGACUCCUACGGGAGGCAGCAGUGGGGAAUCUUGGGCAAUGGGCGAAAGUCUGACCGAGCAACGCCGCGUGAGUGAAGAAGGGUUUCGGAUCGUAAAGCUCUGUUGUUAGGGAAGCGUUAUCUAACCAGAAAGCCACGGCUAACUACGUGCCAGCAGCCGCGGUAAUUC